rnacentral:rRNA from 1 species
AGGUAAAGACAGUUAGGCUGAAUCGAAGAACUAUCAGAUGUUUAAUACAGGAGUAAAAUCUAAAUAUUAAAAAUUAUCUCAGAUAUAGUUUAUUUAAAACGCUGAAUCUGUGACAGCUUUAUGGGAAACUGGGAUUGGAUACCCCAUUAUUUUUAGUUGUAAAUUUAGUUUAGGCUUACCAGAGUACUACGAAUCAAAAAAUUUAAAACUCAAAGGGCUUGGCGGUGUUUUAGACCCCUCAGGGGAACCUGUCUCGUAAUCGACAAUCCACGUCAGACCUAACCUUCUAUAGUAAUACAGCCUGUAUACCGUCGUCGUCAGGUAACUUCUUAAAAUAUAUUAGUUAGCUCGACAACCUUAUUAAUUAAAACGUCAGAUCAAGGUGCAGCCAAUGAGAAGGUGAGGAUGGGUUACAAUUACAAAUUUGUAACUACGGAAGGACACUUGAAACUUAAUAUCCUGAAGGAGGACUUGAAAGUAAUUCUAAGUAUAUAAUUAGAAUGAAUAGGGCUCUGAAACGUG